GGUGCUGUGGCGAAGUAGUCAAACGCUGCGGUCUGCAAAACCGCUAUUCAUGGGUGCAAAUCCCAUCAGCACCUCAA
rnacentral:tRNA from 1 species